AUCUGGGCGGCGGAAUUCAGAAUGGCGAGGGCGUCUUCGCGGCGUUCUCGUCGUUUGAUAUUUCCGUCGCCAGUCACACUCAGACGUCGCGACCUGUUCGCGGUCGGUCCUUGCUUCGGAGGAGCCGCGUUCGAGUUCGUUGUGGGCGCGUUUCGGCGCGUUUCACGGCGAAGGCGCGGAUCUCUGGCUGGCCGUCGGACAGUACGCAUAACGGUGUCCGGUGCCGUAGUACUCGUACGCGCGCGCACCGGUACCGGUCAGCGACGAAUUCUUCGGGCCUCUUUCCGACCCGUCUUGAAACACGGACCAAGGAGUCUAACAUGCGCGCGAGUCGCGGGGUGUCGAGCGUACUUCGGUGCGUUCGUUAUGUUGCGAAACCCGUACAUGUCGAAGGCGUAAUGAAAGUGAAUGGGGAAGAUGGUGUUCCGAGUACACGUUCCGCGGUCGUCGGUAUCGCGGCCGGACACCCGCAUUCCCGGGGCGUCUCAACGGCCCGUCGCGGAUGUCGGCCGUCGUCUCUCGGGGCGGCGGUCAGUCUGCGACGAACCGA
rnacentral:rRNA from 1 species